rnacentral:rRNA from 1 species
UACAGAGGGUGCGAGCGUUAAUCGGAAUUACUGGGCGUAAAGCGUGCGCAGACGGUUGCGUAAGUCAGAUGUGAAAGCCCCGGGCUCAACCUGGGAAUUGCAUUUGUGACUGCAUGGCUAGAGUACGGUAGAGGGGGAUGGAAUUCCGCGUGUAGCAGUGAAAUGCGUAGAUAUGCGGAGGAACACCGAUGGCGAAGGCAAUCCCCUGGACCUGUACUGACGCUCAUGCACGAAAGCGUGGGGAGCAAACAGG